ACCGCCGAGUGGCGGUGAACAUGCGCAGUGGUGGAAACCGCCGAGUGACGGUGACGGUGACCCGGCGCGGCAGUGGCGGAAAAGGCCGAGUGACGUAAGCCGGACGGCGGAAAGAGCCGAGGGCACUUGAUCAGGCGGGAGACUGGCAUCUUCCCUUCUUGGGCAGUCAGGCAGGUUGAAUUCACAUUCAUGCUGCUGAAAUACAGAGCCAUCUCAAGCAUGUUGAAACACAUCGAACACAGGAAGAAGUCAAUAUCCCAGUGGUAAUUUGAAAACAGCUAUUAAUAUACCCGUCAAAACAUCAGUGGCAUAUGGUCACAUUGUGAAACAAAUAUUUUCAUUCUGAUUUUGCAUUACUAAUCAUGUGUAAUAAACUGUAAGCUGUGGAUCUUUUCCGCAUCCACUCU